CUGAUUCGUUGUUUGUCAGAGCUCUUGUGGAUAAUCAGACAUGGGGUGCAUGGCAAAAUUAGGACAGACUAAAGGCAGCAAUUCCGUGUUCGCCGUGCACUUUGAGGAGAAGACAUUGUCUUUGUAUAAGUACCCCUAUAAUCAUCUCUUUACAGCAGAGAUAAGGCCUUCAGGUAAUUUGUGAUGAUCUUUUUAGCAUUCUUAAUUAAUGACAUUUCUGAAGGGAGAUGAUCCUCAGCAUUUCAUAGUUAUUUUUUGUACUGUUGUAAUCUCAAAUUUCACAUUCAAACUUAACUUGUUAUCAAAUAAUUUUGGAAUAAAAUUUUACUUUUACCUGCCCUCCACAGAACCAAAGGUUCACGAGGACUUUUGUUGCUCUAAUGCUUCUUCUAUGACCAUCUCGCCGUUCGCCCUUGCAGAUAGAUAUGGCUGCAUAAAUCGCACCGAUGGAUCCAGUCCUUCGCUAGGUCCAACCUACCCCGCACCAGCCUCAAGCACGUGAGACACUGUUACCUUGUGUUCUAACUGGUUACCACAAUCAAAUCCAUUUUUGCCCAGUUAAAUUAGUUAGCUCAUUUUGUUGAUAAUUGAGUUGCAUUGGUAAUAUAUACUGAACUGUCUUUGGCAUUCUGUUUUGCAAUAUAUUCUAAUUGUCAUGAUUUUUGCUACAUUUUUGGUGUAGAUUUUAGGGACAUUAAUGUAGUGCUAAUGCCUUCCAUGCAGGUUAUUCAGUCAACGCAUAUUCUGUCUUUUGGCAUGUGUAUACUUGCUCUUGUGUUCAUGUUGUAA
rnacentral:lncRNA from 1 species